UACCAUGGUGGUAACGGGUAACGGGGUGUUAGGGCACGACACCGGAGAGGGAGCCUGAGAAACGGCUACCACAUCCAAGGAUGGCAGCAGGCGCGCAAAUUACCCAAUCCCGACACGGGGAGGUAGUGACAAUAAAUAACAAUAUGGGGCUCUUACGAGUCUCGUAAUUGGAAUGAGUACAAUUUAAAUCUCUUAACGAGGAACAAUUGGAGGGCAAGUCUGGUGCCAGCAGCCGCGGUAAUUCCAGCUCCAAUAGCGUAUAUCAAAGUUGUUGCAGUUAAAAAGCUCGUAGUUGAAUUUCGGGGUCAGUAGGUCGGUCGUGCCACUGGUAUGAACUGGUUUUACUGAUUCCUCCCUCUUGAAGAACUGUAAUGCCAUUAAUUUGGUGUUGCAGGGAAUCAGGACUGUUACUUUGAAAAAAUUAGAGUGUUUAAAGCAGGCUUUGGCUUGAAUACAUUAGCAUGGAAUAAUGAAAUAGGACGUUUGAUCCUAUUUUGUUGGUUUCUAGGAUUGACGUAAUGAUUAAUAGGGAUAGUUGGGGGCAUUAGUAUUCAAUUGUCAGAGGUGAAAUUCUUGGAUUUAUUGAAGACUAACUUCUGCGAAAGCAUUGGCCAAGGAUGUUUUCAUUAAUCAAGAACGAAAGUUAGGGGAUCGAAGACGAUCAGAUACCGUCGUAGUCUUAACCAUAAACUAUGCCGACUAGGGAUCGGACGAUGUUAACUUUUUAAUGACUCGUUCGGCGCCUUACGGGAAACCAAAGUGUUU
rnacentral:rRNA from 1 species